CUCUCAUUCUCAUCAACUCUCAUUCUCAUCAUCUCUCAUUCUCAUCAUCUCUCAUUCUGAUCAUCUCUCAUUCUCAUCAACUCUCAUUCUCAUCAACUCUCAUUCUCAUCAUCUCUCAUUCUCAUCAUCUCUCAUUCUCAUCAUCUCUCAUCCUCGUCAACUCUCAUUCUCAUCAUCUCUCAUUCCCAUCAUCUCUCAUUCUCAUCAUCUCUCAUUCUCAUCAACUCUCAUUCUCAUCAUCUCUCAUUCUCAUCAUCUCUCAUUCCCAUCAUCUCUCAUUCUCAUCAACUCUCAUUCUCAUCA
rnacentral:lncRNA from 1 species